rnacentral:rRNA from 1 species
AGUGGCGAACGGGUGAGUAAUAUAUCGGAACGUGCCCAGUCGUGGGGGAUAACGUAGCGAAAGUUGCGCUAAUACCGCAUACGAUCUAAGGAUGAAAGCGGGGGAUCGCAAGACCUCGCGCGAUUGAAGCGGCCGAUAUCAGAUUAGGUAGUUGGUGGGGUAAAGGCUCACCAAGCCAACGAUCUGUAGCUGGUCUGAGAGGACGACCAGCCACACUGGAACUGAGACACGGUCCAGACUCCUACGGGAGGCAGCAGUGGGGAAUUUUGGACAAUGGACGCAAGUCUGAUCCAGCCAUUCCGCGUGCAGGAUGAAGGCCCUCGGGUUGUAAACCGCUUUUGUACGGAACGAAAAGGUUUCUAUUAAUACUAGGAGCUCAUGACGGUACCGUAGGAAUAAGCACCGGCUAACUACGUGCCAGCAGCCGCGGUAAUACGUAGGGUGCAAGCGUUAAUCGGAAUUACUGGGCGUAAAGCGUGCGCAGGCGGUUAUAUAAGACAGAUGUGAAAUCCCCGGGCUCAACCUGGGAACUGCAUUUGUGACUGUAUAGCUAGAGUACGGUAGAGGGGGAUGGAAUUCCGCGUGUAGCAGAGAAAUGCGUAGAUAUGCGGAGGAACACCGAUGGCGAAGGCAAUCCCCUGGACCUGUACUGACGCUCAUGCACGAAAGCGUGGGGAGCAAACAGGAUUAGAUACCCUGG